GAUGAACGCUAGCGGAAGGCAUAAUACAUGCAAGUCGAACGGAUGUAGCAAUACAUUAGUGGCGCACGGGUGCGUAACGCGUAUGCAACCUACCUUCAUCAGGGGGAUAACUACCCGAAAGGGUGGCUAACACCGCAUAAUACUAUUGAGUGGCAUCACUUGAUAUUUAAAUCUGAGGAGGAUGAAGAUGGGCAUGCGUCUGAUUAGCUAGUUGGUGUGGUAACGGCGCACCAAGGCGACGAUCAGUAGGGGAACUGAGAGGUUGGUCCCCCACCCUGGCACAGAGAUACGGGCCAGACUCCUACGGGAGGCAGCAGUAGGGAAUAUUGGUCAAUGGUGGGAACACUGAACCAGCCAUUCCGCGUGCAGGAAGAAGGGUCUCUGACUUGUAAACUGCUUUAGCAAGGGAAGAAAAAGCUCAUGCGUGAGAAAUUGACGGUACCUUGAGAAUAAGCACCGGCUAACUACGUGCCAGCCGCCGCCGUAACAC
rnacentral:rRNA from 1 species